rnacentral:lncRNA from 1 species
CUCACAUGUACAUUGAGCCAAAGCUAAUUGUAUAAUAUUGUGAGGACUGGACUCAUUUACAGGCAGCAGAGCCAAAGCUAAAUGUUGUAUUCUCUUAUUUUUUUCAUAGAAAUAUAAUUUGCAAUUUCUUGUAGUAAAUAUUGACUCAUAUUAAGAUUUUAUAGAACAUAUUCUAUUCAGUAAAUAUUGAAUGUACCUGAUUGUGUUCUGUAUAGAUCUACUUAUUGUCAGCGACCGACAGAUGGAGCAAACUGGGUUGUAGUGGGUGUUGAGUUGAGCUGCAGGCCGCGCCCUCCCUGCCUGAGUGCAUCAGGUGUGGGUGUGUCUCCCAGCCUGAAGGCAGCAGACUGAGUGCACCAGGUGUGGGUGUGUCUCUGUCAGGGACUGAGCUGGCAGGCAUGAGGAGUCAAGGAUUUGUUUGGCGACAGGCAUCAAGCUUAUAGGCGCAUUGCCACCUACCGAACUGGAGUGUGGUACAUUAGAUGACCCUAACUAAACUGAGACAUUGGGGAAACUUAAAUAGUGGCUGAUCAGGCCACUCUGACACACAGGGGGAAUAGACUAAAACACAACAUUUAAACAAACCAUAAUAACCUCAAAUAAUAUCCAGAUAAUGCAGCCAAAUAUGAACUAAGGAAAAUACUGAAAUACUAAACAUCAAAAAGUAUAAUAAUCAGAAAUAACUGAACUCACCAAGGAGAAAGCACGGCGUCUCCCCAUGAUUCCAGCCAACAUGGUGUAGCCCGAUUAUCGGCCCAACCCCUUUUAAGCUCUCUGAUUCUGCCAGCACUUCCUUUGUCAGCCAUCUGAAGAGGAGGCGGGUGGCGAGCAUCAGCUCAGUUGCUUUUGUUCUGUGACAAACUGGGAUGUUUACUGCUGUUGUUUAAAAUGAACAGAAGAGACAUUUGAAGUGAAUAUUCUAGUGAACUGUGCGCGUGGCGUCAAAUUUUGAACCUUCACCAUGAAAGAGGGAUUUGAACUUCUGCGUACAUGGUCCAAUCUCAACGGAACUUCACGUGUUUGAUAAGAGUCCCGCCCUGAACACGUCUAUGUGAUAAUAUUCAGAUAUAGUGAGAGCCCCACCUAGUGCCAACAGGAG